rnacentral:rRNA from 1 species
UACCAGCACCCCGAGUGGUCGGGACGAUUAUUGGGCCUAAAGCAUCCGUAGCCGGUUCUACAAGUCUUCCGUUAAAUCCACCUGCUUAACAGAUGGGCUGCGGAGGAUACUAUAGAGCUAGGAGGCGGGAGAGGCAAGCGGUACUUAGUGGGUAGGGGUAUAAUCCGUUGAUCCAUUGAAGACCACCAGUGGCGAAGGCGGCUUGCCAGAACGCACUCGACGGUGAGGGAUGAAAGCUGGGGGAGCAAACCGG